UGUAGCAGCACCGCCGGCGGC
rnacentral:misc_RNA from 1 species